GAUGAACGCUGGCGGAAUGCUUUACACAUGCAAGUCGAACGGCAGCACGGACUUCGGUCUGGUGGCGAGUGGCGGACGGGUGAGUAAUGUAUCGGAACGUGCCCAGUCGGGGGGGAUAACGUAGUGAAAAUUACGCUAAUACCGCAUACGAUCUAUGGAUGAAAGCGGGGGAUCGCAAGACCUCGCGCGAUUGGAGCGGCCGAUAUCAGAUUAGGGAGUGGGUGGGGUAAAGGCCCACCAAGCCAACGAUCUGUAGCUGGUCUUGGAGGACGACCAGGCAGACGGGAGGAGAGAAAGGGUCGCGACUCCUACGCGAGGCAGCAGUGCGGAAUUGUGGGGAAUGAGCGAGAGCGUGAUCCAGGAAUUCCGCGUGCAGGAUGAAGGAGCUAUGCUUGUAGACUGAUUUUGUACAGAACGAAAUAAUUUUUACUAAUACGAGGAGCUCAUGACGGUACUGUAAGAAUAAGCACCGGCUAACUACGUGCCAGCCGCCGCCGUAA
rnacentral:rRNA from 1 species